UACGGGGGGGGCAAGCGUUGUUCGGAAUUACUGGGCGUAAAGGGCUCGUAGGCGGCCAACUAAGUCAUACGUGAAAUCCCUCGGCUUAACCGGGGAACUGCGUCUGAUACUGGAUGGCUUGAGUUCGGGAGAGGGAUGCGGAAUUCCAGGUGUAGCGGUGAAAUGCGUAGAUAUCUGGAGGAACACCGGUGGCGAAGGCGGUUACCUGGAGCUUUGCUGACGCUGAUGCGCGAAAGCGUGGGGAGCGAUCCGG
rnacentral:rRNA from 1 species